AUUGAACGCUGGCGGCAUGCUUUACACAUGCAAGUCGAACGGCAGCGCGGUCUUCGGCCUGGCUGCGAGUGGCGAACGGGUGAGUAAUGCAUCGGAACGUGCCCAGUAGUUGUGGAUAGCGCGGCGAAAGCCGGAUUCAUACCCCAUACGACCUGAGGGUGAACGCGGGGGACCGAAAGACCUUGCGCCAUUGGAGCGGCCGAUGUCGGAUUAGCUAGUUGGUGGGGUAAAGGCUUACCAAGGCGACGAUCCGUAGCUGGUCUGAGAGGACGACCAGCCACACUGGGACUGAGACACGGCCCAGACUCCUACGGGAGGCAGCAGUGGGGAAUUUUGGACAAUGGGGGCAAGCCUGAUCCAGCCAUGCCGCGUGCGGGAAGAAGGCCUUCGGGUUGUAAAGCGCUUUUGUUCGGGAAGAAAUGCUCUGGGCUAAUACCCCGGGGGGAUGACGGUACCGGAAGAAUAAGCACCGGCUAACUACGUG
rnacentral:rRNA from 1 species